rnacentral:lncRNA from 1 species
UUCUUAUCCAGCUGAGGUCAAUGGGAUGCGAUACUCAAUGCACUGGGUUUCUGAAGCUCACCGGAACUCAUGGCAUGUUCUGCUUGAUGCGACAGCCCUCGUGGUAGGACAAGACAAGCUAAAUCUUGCACUUCACAGGCCUGAUUUUGUUCUUUGCAGCCUUGAGAAUGGUCAUGCCAACCCUUCAAAAAUCACCUGCCUGCUUGUCAGGAGAAAAUCGUUUGAUGUGUCCAUAGCUCCAGCUCAAGCAUUCAAAUAAUAGUAUUUGCUAGAACAGAAGAACCGUUAAAAAAGUUGUGCAAUGCUGUAACAUAUUUACUUCAAGACAAACUUUUCCUGUUUAUAUAUGCUUAACUAAUCUGUCGAGCUUACAGGAAAAAUCUUCAAAUUCAGCAUCCAUGGUACACAACAGUUACCAGAAAUUGUUGGCUUAUUUUCAUAACUAAAUGUUAUGAAAUUUCUCGUGUAAUUGUCAAGGAAACCACAAGAUGGAAAAGGGAGAAAUGCAGAAGAAUUUUACAAUGACUGACUUUUCUGUUCUGCUAACCCCUUUGUUUGCCUCUAUUGUUUGAUCAGGGAUCAACUGAAUUUCCCAAUGUCGCAACUAAAGCUAGUUAAGAUGAAAUUUGGAGUACUUUUCAAUAAUUUUCGUCAGUUAUUGCUAAGAACUUAUAAACAAAGUUUUAUUCAAUCUUAAGCUACAUAAGUUUAAUUAGUUUCAAAACUAGGAUUUUCAUUUUGGCUUCUUACCUUCUAUACAUAUAUACUAUUUUACUUCAAAAAAAAGGUGAGGAGUGCUUGACCAGUGGAAUAAUAAUUCAUUUUUUAUGUUUCUUAUUUUUAUGUAGUAGUUCUUUUUCAUUCUAAGAACAAGAGGUGGUGAAGAUGGAAAUUCUCAAUUAACAGUAAAGUAUUUAGGAACAGUCUGCAGUUGUUAGAGAGUUACUUAACUACAAGAGUAUUGCUGCACAUUUCCAACCUCACAGAUCAAGAUACCUUCUCAAAUUGUUGAAAAAUAGGAAUUCAAUCCCUUUUGGUAAAAACAAAUCCUUCGCCUGGUGGAAAUGCUAAUCAAGUUUCUUGAAUCCUUCGUGAACGCUUCUCUUGUUUGUUGUGGGAUAAGCCAACUGAGGAUUGACUGCGGUUGAGUGAUAAUAAACAGGAAAGGUUAUUGAACGACGAACACAUUUAUCUAGAUGCAUCAUGCUGAAUUCUAAAGCAUAAUUGAUUCUAUAAAUUCAUGACCACAAUAUUUUUUUUCCAUGCUCCUCUAUGAAGACAGUCAUGUAAGUAAGACAAGCACUCUCAUUCAACAUGCUACCGACAGGCUACUGCGGAAGUUAAAGAAUGUAAAUUCUGACAUACCAGCUAUUAGAAGUUUAUGACUGCUAAAAUGCUAAAACUACAAACCUACAAGUAGAAAAAGGACAAGAUCAUGAGAAGAAAAGAAAGCUCCAGAAUAGAGUAAAUGAUGACUUUGUUCUGUUCUUCAAUUAUAUGUCAAGCCGUAACAGAAAAAGAAUUCACGUCAGAACCUGAGGCCACAGCAGACAACUAUUGCUAGCAAAUGACCAUCUGGAUAGGUCUACAUCAGGCAUGCAGUGAUUUCACAAUGUUGAAAGCCAUAUCUUUAAACAUGUAAGUUAUAUAUAUUCAAAAACGAUGCCUUUGUCUCAUUUGUUAGAUUAGAGUUCAACUAUAUUUCCCAUUAUAGCAAUUAAGAAUUAGAAAGAUAAAAGCAGCUAAGAAAUGAGAUUAAUUUUUUUAAACCUUCCAAGAUCUAGGAAUUUCAUUUUGGCUUCUUACUUUCUGUAGAGUAUUCUUUUCUUUACUCGAUAUAAAAGGUAAGGAAUUCUUUGUCAGAGCAUGACUAUUCCCUUUUCUGAUGUUUCUCGUAUUCAUACUGUAGUUUUCUUUUAUUGUAAGAAAGAGGGGUGGUGAAUAUGGACAUGCUGAUCUGAGCACAUGAGAAUACGUUAAGGAACAGUGCAGAGUUAAGGUGCAAAGCUUUGUAACUACAAGGUAUUGUCGCAGAUUACCAUCCUCACUGAUCAAACUGUUGGAGUCUAGGAGCUCAAAUCCUCGUCUAUAACCAAUUCCUUCAUCUAUCUUGCUUGUUGCAUCCUUCAAGAUUGUUUCCCUUGUUAGUUGAGGGCUAAGCCAAAUGAUCAUUGACUGAAGAAAAUUAGGAGGAAUGGUUAUUGAAGGGUGAACACUGAUUAGCCUAAGAUGCAUCUUACUGGAUUCCGAAGUAUAAUAUUUGAAUAAAACAGCACAAGGAUACCUUGUUUCACACUUACUUGUCAAGACUCAAGGCAAUCAUAUAAGAACAGGAAAGUAUUUAACACGCUGUUGACAAGAAGAAAAGAGAGCUCCAGAGUACAGAAAAUUACAGGCUUAUAUAUAUGGUUGUACAAUACUAUGUUGAUCCAUAAAAGAAAAAGAAAACAUGCUAGCAAAGGACCAUCUGAAUAGUUCCACAUCAGCCAUGCUGUAUGUUUGAUGAAAUAGGACACCUUAGAACAUGUAAAUAUGUAGAUAUUCAAAAACAAUGUCUAAAAUAAAAAAAGAUGAUAAUUCUUGGAUUCCACAUGAUCGUUUCUCUUGCCUGUAGAGGGCUAAACGCAAAUGAAGAACAGGGAGAAAUUUCCUUACCUAUGUCAUACCUGUUUGAUAACCUAAUUUAGCACUUAAAUUUAAUGGAUUUCUUAAUAUAUUCAGAUCAUUUGAUAAUAAAAAAUUGAACAUCUGAAUUAAUUAACUGGCAUUGAAUUUCCUAGACAAAACUUGCUUCCAAAAUUAAGUGAUAAACUAUUUACUUAUUACUGAAUAUGAUAUGUAUUCAAAUGUAUUAGAUUUAAUACUUAACAAUUCAAUAACUUAAUAGAUGUAGACUUCAUAUUUCAGUUUUAUCAAACACACAAUGUCUCUUCCAAAUGUGGAGAAAAUGCUUAUAUAUGAAGUCAUCAGCACACUAACAGCAACACUUCGAUCAAGAUGUUAUUUUGGAAGUCAAAAAUCAAAAUGAAGAACAUCACUCAUUAGCCAGUUCAGAAGCUUUCAGUUAAAAUAACAUCUUAAUACAUCAUAAGAAGAAGAAAAGAGACAGUGCCAACAAACAGCAAGAAACAACACUUUUCACAAGUGGAAUAAUAUGUUCGCAGUAAGCAGAAAGCAUAAUUUUGCUCCUCUUCUGGGAUCUCAUUUAUAGAAAACUGUCAAUUGCUAAAAAUAGAUGGUCAGCAGCUCGCGAGACAACUCAAUGCUUUCAUUGUAAUGUCAACAAAAAGCCACAUGCGCUGCUGAACCUAUGACACUUGCAUGAAUCCUAAUGUGGUAUGCACACAACAAUUACAAAACUGCACACAGCUGAUAAUUUAAGUGGCGUAUACUCCAGUUGAAGAGUAGGAGUAAUGCAACUAUUGCGUUGGCCUUGCGUUAGGAUUGCAAUUGACAACCCCCACUCAGUAAAGCAUCUAAGUUAAGUUACCCGACACUGUGUAGGAUACCGUAUGUCAGGGAGCCUGCCGACAAGUAGCCUAUCAAGCUUGUUUGUCUGAUGAUCAUAUGAAUAAACAAUUGUAAAGCAACUGGGCUUCUUAUUUGGUAGGUCGGAAAAUAAUAUCUGCCCAGUAGGGAGGCUGCCAACAUAAGCUGUUCCCCUUGCCAAAACUUCUGAAGGCAAGGGAAUGUCAUGCCUGCUCCAGGAUUUACCUUCAUUAAUGUACGAGUGACAAAACACCUAAGAGUUUCAAAAUCAGUGGGAAUCAACAGACCUAUACGUCUCAUGAAUUGUACAAGCUCCCAUCUGUUUCCCUUUAUCCUGAAUAAUGCAUCGUCUGGCAGUUCUAUCAAUUGGAAUUUCUCUAUGUUGAGAUCAAAAGAAAUCAGCCUUCUACAAUCAUCCUCACAAUCAACUACCCAAUACAGGAUCCCACCAACCAAAGGCUCUCACUUGAAAAGAUUUUUCUAUCGAAUUUUAUCAGACGUACAAGUGUUGAGUAAAAGAACUGAAAUUCUACGGGUGCUUCUGUGUCAGGGUUUUCUAGUUGAUCAGAUCUGGCAUCAAUGUAGACUGGGAUGAACAUUGGGAUGCCACCAUGAUAUGAUUGAGCACCAAUACUUUGAAAGGCACUUGCACUUGUGCAGAUUCUUGACCCUUCGAAGCCUUACAAGUAUUUCAAAAACCAAGUCAUCUGAUAACUGCUUCUGUUGUGAGAUUAUUGAGCCAUUUACAGCAGUGCCUUCUGCUGUUUGAUUAGAAUUCUGACGAUUCCUCUCAUCCAUUUUUUGAUCAUCAAGUGUCUGAAUCCAUGAUCUUCUCCUUGGAAUAUGGUCUGCUUCUUCCAGGUGAGCUGAAUCAGGGAUUAUUCCCCAAAUCCGUGGAAAAUACUAAACUUGGAUGUAGGAAGAUAUCCUACAGGAAAGAUAAACAAUCCCACAAAAUAAUACAUCAGUAGCCUUGGACUAAUACAUAUAUGUAGACUGCUAAGAUUUCUAUAGCAUGGUUUCCAAACCAACAAAGGAAUCAAUUAUACAAUCGGACUCCAGCUUCUACAAUUUGGCAACUAUCAAAUAAAAGAAACUUGAUUUAAUUCCUAGGUUUCCAAGAUAGUAAAUAAAGUUCCCCCACAAAUCCUAUCGUUCUCUUCAUAAGAGUUGGAAUCCUUAUUCCUUUAUUAUUUCAUCUACAUUUUCCUGUUUUCUUAUUAUAUCCCAUCUGGUUUAGAUCCUAGAAUAAAAUGUAUAAAGCUACAGCAAAGAAUGUAAACAAAAAAAAAAUCCAAUUUCUAAUAUGAUAUGAUAUGAUGUCUGCGAUUAUUAUUUCGCAGCAUAAGAAACUUGAUUUAAGUUCAACAGCGUCCACUACUUCCUAAUGACCCUCACUGAGCAAAAAAUCUAAUGGGGCAAGAUUUUCCUCUAUAAAAGUUACCCCAACACCUAAAUUUGUAGCAUGACGUAUCUGAGGUGGGCUGCCAACCAACAGCCUCUCAAACCUAUUUUUCUGAUGAUCAUAUGAAUAAAUUGGCACGCAAGCUGACUUCGACUUCUUCUGAUCUAGUAACUUAAGGUUGGAAAACAAUAUUUGGCCGGUGGGAAGAUUGCCAACAAAUACGGCAGUUCUCUCUUCUGAAUCUGAUCCAAGUGGCCAGGGGAUAUAUUGCUUGAUCCAACAUUUGGCGUCAUUACCAUCAUGAUCUAGCAAGUGAACCCCAAAACAGACAUAAUCAGAAUUCAACAGGCCUAGGUGUCCCUUGAACUGCACAAAUUGCCAUUCCUUUGGAUGGACUAAAAAUUUGUAAUCCGGCGGGGGUUGAAUCAGAUCAAACCUGUCUUUCUUGAAGUCAAAAGAAACUAGUCUUGGCUGAUUAUCAAGGCAAUUAACAAUCCAAUACAUUACUCCUUUAACUAAAAGGUACCAAGCAGAGGAAAGGCCUGACCCUUCAGAAGACACGACCUCGUCCAGCUCUGGGGAGUCGACGUCUAGUGCUGCAGAGGAGUCGGCCGAGGAGGGAACUGUCGAGACCACCCCAGGGUUGGAAUGGGUGGUUCCGAGAUCUUAUAUAAUGACGAUCUCGGAACUGAAAUACCCCACAAUGAGGGCGUGCUGGAGCCGGUCGCACCAAAGGAUGUCGCUGAAAUAAACUUCGGCAAGAUGCUAACAGGUGUCGAGCCUGUGCAAUAAAAAAUACCUGCUCGAGAAAAAUAAAUUUUCUGUGUAUAGUAGUGAGCAGGGUCGAAUCCACAGGAACUGGAAAAAAUUCGAUUCUUUUUAAAUUCGAGACACGGGGGAUUUUUUUUAUCAGAUAAAACUAAAAAUAAAUAAUUUAACAAUUUAACUAAAAAUAAUUAAUUAAUUAAUUAAUACAAAUGUAAAUAGCAAUCUAAUAAAUAAUAAAUAAAUUCUAGCCAAGGAUACAACUACGCAAACACAGUCCAUUCAUCCGAUCAUUGAUGCAAAGAAGGUUCACUUAAUUUUAUUAACAGGUUAGUUAUAGUCGCCGAUAAACUCUAACGACCAGCUUUUCCUUAAUUUAUUGAUAACCAAGGUACGGCCGUUGAUUAUCCCUAACCAGGAAAUACUCCUAGGUACGACCAUAGGAAUUAAUUUCCUAAUUGCAUUAAAAACUAUAAAAACCUAACCCAAAUUAAUAACACGCUACGAGGGUUAUUUAAAUCAGAUUGCAUGUUCCCCUAGUAUGUGAAAAUGCUAGUUGUCACUAAUAUUAACCAACUAAACAAUUACGGAUUUAAUUGAUUAAUUUGACAAGAGAUUAAUAAGUCAAAUUGCACAUCGGGCCCUUGAUAUCCAAUUAACAAAAUAAUCCCAUGGAAAUUCAAAUAGAAACAUAUUAACAAAUUAAGGAACACGUAAAAUUAAUUAGAUCUCACAGAUAUUUGGGACUGCAUCUUCGCGUUGAUCCUUGACUAAAUGAGAAAAUUAGCCACUCCUCAUAAGAAAAUUCCCACGCAAUUUAAUUAGAAUCAAAUACAUAAAUAACUAACUAAGAAUUUAGAAAGAAACUUGAGUCUCCGUAGACUCUUUGAAGAAAAGUUUCGCACCACACAACAAGAGAAGGAAGAACUCCUCCUCCGAAAACCAAAAACUACCUCUAUCAUCCUACGGAGCUUCUUUGGAGAGAACUCAAAACUAGUUUUUAUAUAUUCUGCCUUCUCUCAUAGCUUUUUUUUUUAUUUAGCAGAGAUUUGGAUUUGACUGGUAUUUCUUUAAUUUGCUGCUUAUCUUACUGUUGUCUUGAUGAAUAAAUGUGGCAUCUCACUCGUCUAUUGCUGGUUAUGAUUUGUUCUAUGAAUUUAGUUUAAGUGGCAAGUAAACGCAUGUUAUCUUCAUGAAUAUCAUGAGUUUAAUGACUUGGUGCAAAUUGUGGUUAACUUGUUUAGGCAAUAUAAAUAUUUUAUUAGCAAUUGUUGUGUGGAUUGGGCAAUUGUUGAUCUUAGUUCUCCAUAUUAGGAGAUGACGUGGGCCAUGAUCUUUAAUUAUCUGGUAUUCUGGUGCUUUAAUUGUGAUUAAUAAAUGACUCUACUCCGCUAGUGCCGUCACCCAGUAACCGGGAGUCUUCACCACAAGUGUCGACUUUCGCGUCAAAAAGUGGCGAUAUCUAUGAGUAGUUAGUCCUGAAGCUGUGAAAAGUUGAGUAACUGGGCUCUUUUAUCUAAAAAUGUCAGAGUUCACGUCAAAAGACUUGAAUAGCUUGGGACUGAGCAUUUAUUGAAAUUUUUUUUAUUAUUAUCAAAAAAAAAAGAAAAAAAAAGAGAAGAAAAUAAUAAGUAAGCUUAUGAUCAUAUUGGUCUGCCGAUCCUUGUUCUUCAAUGUUGAGAUUUUAAUUUUCAGUUGACCCAAUUGCUAACUUUUGCUAGUUUAAUAUUUUGAUUUCUUAGACGAGUUAGCCAUGAAUUGGACGAGUCUAUGAUUUCAGGAGCUAACCGGGAGAAAUAUGUCUUGACACUUAGCCACUAAAACUUGAUUUUGGGAUAAGCGUAGCUUGGCAGUAAAUGAAAUAAGAGUUAGCCAUUGUUGAGUUUAGUAUUCCCAUACUUGAGGACAAGCAUGAUUUAAGUGUGGGGGGAAUUGAUAGGGUAUUAAUUGUUAGUAAUUUUAUCAUUAAUUCUCCUCUUUAUCCUUGCCAAAUAUUGUUUUAAUUGUCAAUAUAUAUUUAUAUUUGGUAUUUGGAUAUAAUUUCAAGGAAUGGAGCAGAAAACUACUAAAAAGGGGUACUUUCUUGAGAAGAUUAAUCUACACGUGAAAGCUUCUGAAAGCUUCACACAACUAGCCCACAUUGUGCAAACCAAAGGAUUUCCUUCCCUUUCUGCUAAUGAAGAAUUGACUUGAUCUGAUGAAAUUCACUACCAAUAAGAAAUUAAAAGAAAGGAAAUGACCAACAUCUCAAUUAGGCGGGGACCACGUAGAAAGUUUGUUCUUAUUGUGGGAGAUAUACUCAUUAGCCAAGGUGUUGGCUUUGAUGAUUGAGCUUUUCCAAUUUGCUUCUUACGUCACUAGUUUCUAAGAAGCAAAUUGGAAAAGCUCAAUCAUCAAAACCAACACCUUGGCUAAUGAGUAUAUCUCCCGCAAUAAGAACAAACUUUCUACGUGGUCCCCGCCUAAUUGAGAUGUUGGUCAUUUCCUUUCUUUUGAUUUCUUAUUGGUAGUGGAUUUCAUCAGAUCAAGUCAAUUCUUCAUUAGCAGAAAGGGAAGGAAAUCCUUUGGUUUGCACAAUGUGGGCUAGUUGUGUGAAGCUUUCAGAAGCUUUCACGUGUAGAUUAAUCUUCUCAAGAAAGUACCCCUUUUUAGUAGUUUUCUGCUCCAUUCCCUGAAAUUAUAUCCAAAUACCAAAUAUAAAUAUAUAUUGACAAUUAAAACAAUAUUUGGCAAGGAUAAAGAGGAGAAUUAAUGAUAAAAUUACUAACAAUUAAUACCCUAUCAAUUCCCCCCACACUUAAAUCAUGCUUGUCCUCAAGUAUGGGAAUACUAAACUCAACAAUGGCUAACUCUCAUUUCAUUUACUGCCAAGCUACGCUUAUCCCAAAAUCAAGUUUUAGUGGCUAAGUGUCAAGACAUAUUUCUCCCGGUUAGCUCCUGAAAUCAUAGACUCGUCCAAUUCAUGGCUAACUCGUCUAAGAAAUCAAAAUAUUAAACUAGCAAAAGUUAGCAAUUGGGUCAACUGAAAAUUAAAAUCUCAACAUUGAAGAACAAGGAUCGGCAGGCCAACAUGAUCAUAAGCUUACUUAUUAUUUUCUUCUCUUUUUUUUUCUUUUUUUUUUUGAUAAUAAUAAAAAAAAAUUUCAAUAAAUGCUCAGUCCCAAGCUAUUCAAGUCUUUUGACGUGAACUCUGACAUUUUUAGAUAAAAGAGCCCAGUUACUCAACUUUUCACAGCUUCAGGACUAACUACUCAUAGAUAUCGCCACUUUUUGACGCGAAAGUCGACACUUGUGGUGAAGACUCCCGGUUACUGGGUGACGGCACUAGCGGAGUAGAGUCAUUUAUUAAUCACAAUUAAAGCACCAGAAUACCAGAUAAUUAAAGAUCAUGGCCCACGUCAUCUCCUAAUAUGGAGAACUAAGAUCAACAAUUGCCCAAUCCACACAACAAUUGCUAAUAAAAUAUUUAUAUUGCCUAAACAAGUUAACCACAAUUUGCACCAAGUCAUUAAACUCAUGAUAUUCAUGAAGAUAACAUGCGUUUACUUGCCACUUAAACUAAAUUCAUAGAACAAAUCAUAACCAGCAAUAGACGAGUGAGAUGCCACAUUUAUUCAUCAAGACAACAGUAAGAUAAGCAGCAAAUUAAAGAAAUACCAGUCAAAUCCAAAUCUCCCCCCUCACUUAAAGCACACAUUGCCCUCAAUGUGACAAUUAAACAGUAAAAAUAAGAAGAAGGGCAACGAAACUCCCCUGAAGUUGUCAAAACAGCGCGGGUUAGGCGGAAGUUGAGGUUCAACACCCACGUGGUGCAUAAACGCCGCCAAAUUCUGUGCCAUGCUAUGCACAUUAACAUCAAUUUUUGAUACUUGAGCUUCCAAUUUCUGAACUCGCAUCUGGAGUUGGUGCCAGUUAUCAGCCCCCUGGGAUUGGAGGAGGCGGAGCGGAGGUCGAAGGGCCAGGGUCACCGCUAGUAGUGGAGGAACGGGCAAAAGAUGAACGAGGGGGAAUACGAGAUGGUCCCGGCGGUGGAACCUCCCACCCAUUGUCACCCUCCCUAACCAAGCCCAUUUUCUCUAGACAAGGGAUGUCUAAGGGCUCCAUUUGAUAUGCUACAUGCAAAUCAUGGUUAGAGAGAUCAAGCACAUGCAAAUUAACAGCCAAAUGGGUAAUGUAUGAUCCAAAAAUCAAGAGGCGCUUCUUUUUAGUCAAAAUAGACUUGAAUUGAGAAGCUAGCCAGCAGCCCAAAUUAACUUUAAUGUUAUUAUGCAUGCACCAAAUAAAGAAAAACUCCGACUUAGACAAAAUGCCCGAGCUAUCUCGCCUGCCUGAGAAACUAUAAGCCAAGAAACGUUGGAUGUAACGAGAAGCCAGGUCCUUGAGAUAAGAGCUCUUGGACUUUCGGGGGUUGUAAGGAUCAUAGUCUACGGACAUUUCUUUCCAAAUAGAGCUAUAGCGGGAGAAGAAGGGUUCUACGUAGUCACAAGCACUCUCGGCAUACUCACGAGAGUCGGCGUAGGCCCUAUCAAUAAAACCAAAGGCUAGAUUGAAAUCAGUAAUGGAGUGGUGGAAUUCUUGACCCACUAAUCGAAAACGAAUGACAUUGGGGGUGGAGACUGCGUAACCAGUGGAAAUGGUAAACUCAAAUGUGGUAUAGAACUCCCUAACCAAGUCAACAAAUGCCGGACAGUAAACAAUAGAUGUGUAAGGAUGCCACCCUAUGGCAUUAAUCAAGCGGUCAAAGUCAACUGGUAUAUUCAAAAGACUUAAGGUGGCAGCGUCCUGAUAGCGGCAAGGAAUAAUUCGCCGUUCACAACGAAUAGCAUAUCGCUGUUUGUCGGCGGCUCUGGUGAAAUUCAAAUUACCACCAAAAUGUGAAGGGUCAGAAAUAUGGACGCCUCUCUGUCUCCCAAGACGAGCCCUUCUCCCAGAGGAAGAGGAAUCGUGCGAGGGGUCAGAGGCGGGAAUGGUGGGUUGAGGUGGGGGAGGCCUAGAGGUCCUAGGUGUCCUAGACCUAGAAGAGGAUUUGGGUUUCACCAUUUUCUCCAAAUAUCACUCAAAUCAACAACAGACAACAAUUUUCAACAAAAUUUAGAACCAACAAAUUCAAAGCAAUAACAAUUGUAAUAACCACUGUGGCCUCUCUAUUAGUCAAUUUGAGACCCAAUUAAUGCCCACCAAUUCAAUUAAUGCCCGAAAACAAUGCCAAACAAUGCAACAAUUAAAUUUAACGGGCAAAGGACAUCCAACCAAGUUGACUUGAGCAAACUAUAAGUAGUGUUAAUGUCUAAACAAAUCAUCAAAUUUCAGCAAUUAGACAUAAUACUACCCAAAAUCUCAAUAACUGUCUCUAAUUCGACAAUCAAUUUCUCACUCAACUAACCCUAAUAAGCAUCCAAAUCAACAAACAAACGGAGAAAGGAGUUACACACAAGAUCAGAACACAGCUCCCAAUAAUGCAAUAAAACAACAACUCAAGUAAAUCAAAACAACAAAUAUGAGCAAUUGGUCACAAUUCUUCCCAGAAUCUCAACAAAUGUCUCCAAGAAAUGAACUCAAAUUAAUAGCACAGAGGCAGCUCAUUAUUUAAUUGAGUCCACAGAAAUACUUACCUCUUACCCACUGGCGUCGUUGGUGGGUGUCCGUGAGCUGGGUUGGGGAAGCAUGAGAAGAUGCGAGAGCAGGGGUCGUGUGUGAGUAGAGAGGAGAGCUGCGUGCUCGAGGAUGGGGGAUAAAAGGAGCUGCGUGCGGUGAGAGGAGCCUCGUGCGCGCGGGCUAGGUGGGCUGAUGAGCUAGCUCGAUGACUGAUGGGUGGGUAGUGGACAGUGGCCGUGGGGUGGAGCUUGCGAUGUGGUGGUGGCAUGCAGAGGUGGAUGCGUUGGUCGCCGGCUGUGCAGUGGUCAAAAGUUGAGCUUGCGCGGCUGCUUGGUGUUGUUGGUGGAGACUGAAGGAAGAUCUCCACGUGGCUGUGGAGCUGGUUGUGGGUAGAGAGCUGGACUGCCGUGGGUUUCAGGCGGCAGUCGGCUGCGGCUAUGGGCUGGGAGGAGGAGCUGCGCGAAGACUGGAUGAGAGAGAGAGCGACGGUGCGAGGAAGAGAGGAGAGCUAACGGUGUGGGCUGGUGGUGACUCGCGCAAGUGGAGGAGCUUCAGUGGUGAAGCUUGGAAAACGAGGUAGGCGUUGCUCUGGUGGUUGCUUGCGCAGUGAGGAGGAGCUGCGCGGCGAGCUGGUGGAGCUCCAUGAGCUGGUGGUGGGCGCGAGGUGAGAGAGAGAAGAGGAGGCGAGCUGCUGGUGGACGUGGGCUGGUGGUGACUCGCGCAAGUGGAGGUUGCGCAAGGAGAAGAGAGCGAGGCGGAGUGCGCGAGGAAGAAUAAGGAAUCGGGGAAGAAGAAGAAAGAAAAAGGAAAGAUAGGAAAGAAAAGAAAAAGAAAGAAAGAAAAAG